AACGAACGCUGGCGGCAUGCCUAACACAUGCAAGUCGAACGAGUGCCUUCGGGUGCUAGUGGCGCACGGGUGAGUAACGCGUGGGAACCUGCCUUAUGGUACGGGAUAACGUCGGGAAACUGACGCUAAUACCGUAUAUGUCUUUGGAUGAAAGAUUUAUCGCCAUAAGAGGGGCCCGCGUCUGAUUAGGUAGUUGGUGAGGUAAAGGCUCACCAAGCCGACGAUCUGUAGCUGGUCUGAGAGGACGACCAGCCACACUGGGACUGAGACACGGCCCAGACUCCUACGGGAGGCAGCAGUGGGGAAUUUUGGACAAUGGGCGCAAGCCUGAUCCAGCAAUGCCGCGUGCAGGAUGAAGGCCUUCGGUUGUAACUGCUUUGUACGGAACGAAACGGUAGAGCUCUAAUACAAGUUGCUAAUGACGGUACCGUAAGAAUAAGCACCGGCUAACUACGUGCCAGCAGCCGCGGUAAA
rnacentral:rRNA from 1 species